CAGGCGCCGGGGCGGGCACCGGAGCGGGCGGCCAGCGAGUCAGAUGGUCCGAUGCUGCCCUAUUGCGCUGCCGGACCUCGGUUUCUGAGAUAAUGAGGUCCACGCAGGUCCGAAGGAAAGGACCCGGAGCGCAAACCCUCCUGAGUGCUUAAAAGACCUGGGAUCGCUUGGGCUGGCUGCUAAUGGCAAGUGCUCUGCAGGUUCACAGCUCAGACCAGGGCUCCCCUAGCCAAGACGCCACCGGCUAAAACCACAGGGUGGUGAGCAGGCCUGAAAAGGCACUGUGUGUGUGUGAGACCUUAUAGAGAGAACAUACUGAAGCUGACUGGGACGGACUGGAGGGACCUCUGAGUGGAGACAGAUCUUGCUUUCCUGCCUAGUCACCUGCUCUUUUAAUGGAAGAAAGAGAAGCCUGAUGUCAAAGGUGCAUACAAGGGUCUGUGUAUGACCCUUCUGCAAGGGUCACUUGUCUUGUUGCUGUGACAAAUCAGCUUAUGAAGGUCCCCAGCCCAGGCCUCAGGAUCACCCACAUCCGUGGUGCUUCUCAUCUCAGUAAACGAACCCAAGCUAGGAGCUCCCUCAUAGCCAUGCUCUGAACUUCGCCUCUUCAGUGAUUCUAGGACUUGUCCGGUUGGCAAUGUUAAACAUCACCGUUUCUAUCUGAACUGGUACACUUGUCCACAUGCAGUUGUCUUGAACUGGAUCUACCCCAGGAGUAGAUGGUUUGUAAAGAUCCCCCUCCCUCCAAGAAGCGGACUUUUCAAAAAUGGGGUCUAGGUCUAUGGGCCUCAGUAGGAUAUCCAGCCAUUGAACCCAUGCCAAGUCCCACACCGGAACUCUGAGGCUAAGACAGCCCAGCAGUUUACAUUUUCCCAGCGCUCUGCUGGGGGCUCUGAUGCAGGAUCUAGGUGGAGCCAAACCCAGGCUUAGGUAAGCUUCAGGUAAACAUUUUCUUCUGUGCCUGGGUUUGCUGAUGCCUGUUCUCUUAGCAUUACUUGGCGUCUGUUGUCACUGGCACUUGUUUUGCACCCAAGGAAACAAUAGUUGCCUCCUGGGUAAAGAUCCUGGUUCCUUUGCUGGGCAGUUAAACUGCUAGUUAGGGCAUCAAGGAGAAGUAAGUUUAUAGGGACACAGUUUAUUACCAGUGCUAUGUGCUGAGAUGACAUGUAUGUAACAGACAGCUCACUCUACCCUGAGAGUCCAUAGCCAAGCACCAGGAAAAUGUUGGUGGGAACAGAGAAGUGCUUCGGUGCUCAGAACACAGAAGGCUGUCCCCAGCUGCUACCCCAGGCCUGUUGACCAGCAGGUUUCAGCCAUGCCAAAGCUCUGACCCACCAAGAGCUUCUCAGAACUCAUGCUUCAACAGCUCCCUGAGGCUUCAUCUAAUCUUGGGGUGCUGUGAACUCAAAGGCUUUAUCUUCUGCCUGACUAGAGAUGUUUAUUAAAUAUAUCAAGUUUUGGGAGCUGGGGAGAUGCCUCAGUAGCUAAGAGCACAGGCUGCUCUUCCACAGGACCUGGGUUUGAGUCUCAGUACCCACAUGGUGGCUUACAACCGUCUCUAGUUCAGUUCAAAAGGAUCCCGCACCUCGCACUCCCUCCCCCGCCUCCAAGGGCACCAGGCAUGAAUGUUGUGUACUGACAUGUAAGCAGACAAAACACCCAAUCAACUGGACCAUCAGAACAAGAUCAUGAACAUCUCAAGUGACCUCUGGCACUUUCAAUGAGAGAUGGUCAACCAAGGAAGGAUCUAAGAUGACACCUGUCAAGGCUAAAAGUGUCCCCAAUCAGAGGCUUUGUUUGUCAUGCUCCACCGAGCCUGCAACCCUUGGGCAGGACUCAAGAGUCAGUGUUGACUCUGCCACCAACUGGCUCCUGCCCUCAUUAUAUAAGGUGCAUCUCUGAAUGUUUCAACCCCAUGAGCAUCACACUAGCUGACCACAAAACUGCCAAGAAAAGAGUCUACAGCAAAACAGACAAAUAAACAAACAAACAAACCACUCUGGUGGUGUGGUGUGGACCCAUCUAUAAUGCCAGCACCUGGGGUAGAGACAAAAGGAUCAGAAGUUGGUCAUCCUAAGCUACAUAGUGACCUCAAGGCUAGCCUGGACUAUAUGAAACCCUGUCUCAAAGAACAAAGAAUAAAAAUAGCAUCCUGGGUAUAGUCCCCGAGUGCUGUGCCACAAAAGCUGUCAUAGCUGCAGCAGAUCCCUACUUCCUGCCCAGCCUACAAGCUGCAACAAAAAACGUUCCAUGGGAGCUGUCCAAAAUGGCUGCUCUGGUCAGAAUGGCUCAGCCUGCAGCUGUCACUGGAACUUCAGGAGCUGUCAUCCACAGUGGUGCACUGCUUUUCCCACCUCAGUGGGAGCUGCCCCUCAGGAACUGUCUACAGUAGCAACAGCUUUCCUGCCUUAGCCUACAGCUUUGGUGAAAUAUCACUGCAGGAGCUGUCCGGCAGGAACUGUGCACAGUGAUAGUACCCCCUCUCCAGCCUCCCUCUCAUCACAGCAGCCCUGCCCUAACCCAUGGGCCUGAUGAAGAAAAAGGGAGUGAAAAAAAAGCCACCAGUCCCUGAGCAGGAAAACCUAUGACUCCAUGAGAUUCCCAUAAAACCCCACCAACCCCUGUGAUGGUUUGUAUAUGCUUGGUUUAGGGAGUGGCACUAUUAGAAGGUGUGGCCUUAUUGGAAUAGGUGUGACUUUGUUGGAGUAGGUGUGUCACUAUGGGUGUGGGCUUUAAGACCCUCAUUUUAGCUGCCUGGAUGUCAGUCUUCCACUAGCAGCCUUCAGAUGAAGAGGUAGAACUCUCAGCUCCUCCUGCACCAUGCCUGCCUAGAUGCUGCCAUGUUCCUGCCUUGAUGACAGUGAACUGAACCUCUGAACCUGUAAGCCCCAAUUAAAUGUUGUCCU
rnacentral:lncRNA from 1 species